ACCUGCAACACGCCGAGCUCCAUCCGGUAGGCGAGGGAUUCCGACCCACGGAUGGAGGCGGGGGACCCACCAGGUCCACCGAGACCAGACGGGGCCCGAACGGGCUCCUUGGGGUGAAGCCGGCGUCAACGUCGACACCGGCCGGGUGACCUCUCAAACCCGAACCCGACAGCUGACCUCGUAGGCGUGUACACGAGAGGAAUC
rnacentral:sRNA from 2 species